rnacentral:rRNA from 2 species
GUGGCGAACUGGUGAGUAACACGUGGGAAACCUGCCCAGAAGCGGGGGAUAACACCUGGAAACAGAUGCUAAUACCGCAUAACAACUUGGACCGCAUGGUCCGAGUUUGAAAGAUGGCUUCGGCUAUCACUUUUGGAUGGUCCCGCGGCGUAUUAGCUAGAUGGUGGGGUAACGGCUCACCAUGGCAAUGAUACGUAGCCGACCUGAGAGGGUAAUCGGCCACAUUGGGACUGAGACACGGCCCAAACUCCUACGGGAGGCAGCAGUAGGGAAUCUUCCACAAUGGACGAAAGUCUGAUGGAGCAACGCCGCGUGAGUGAAGAAGGGUUUCGGCUCGUAAAACUCUGUUGUUAAAGAAGAACAUAUCUGAGAGUAACUGUUCAGGUAUUGACGGUAUUUAACCAGAAAGCCACGGCUAACUACGUGCCAGCAGCCGCGGUAAUACGUAGGUGGCAAGCGUUGUCCGGAUUUAUUGGGCGUAAAGCGAGCGCAGGCGGUUUUUUAAGUCUGAUGUGAAAGCCUUCGGCUCAACCGAAGAAGUGCAUCGGAAACUGGGAAACUUGAGUGCAGAAGAGGACAGUGGAACUCCAUGUGUAGCGGUGAAAUGCGUAGAUAUAUGGAAGAACACCAGUGGCGAAGGCGGCUGUCUGGUCUGUAACUGACGCUGAGGCUCGAAAGUAUGGGUAGCAAACAGGAUUAGAUACCCUGGUAGUCCAUACCGUAAACGAUGAAUGCUAAGUGUUGGAGGGUUUCCGCCCUUCAGUGCUGCAGCUAACGCAUUAAGCAUUCCGCCUGGGGAGUACGGCCGCAAGGCUGAAACUCAAAGGAAUUGACGGGGGCCCGCACAAGCGGUGGAGCAUGUGGUUUAAUUCGAAGCUACGCGAAGAACCUUACCAGGUCUUGACAUACUAUGCAAAUCUAAGAGAUUAGACGUUCCCUUCGGGGACAUGGAUACAGGUGGUGCAUGGUUGUCGUCAGCUCGUGUCGUGAGAUGUUGGGUUAAGUCCCGCAACGAGCGCAACCCUUAUUAUCAGUUGCCAGCAUUAAGUUGGGCACUCUGGUGAGACUGCCGGUGACAAACCGGAGGAAGGUGGGGAUGACGUCAAAUCAUCAUGCCCCUUAUGACCUGGGCUACACACGUGCUACAAUGGAUGGUACAACGAGUUGCGAACUCGCGAGAGUAAGCUAAUCUCUUAAAGCCAUUCUCAGUUCGGAUUGUAGGCUGCAACUCGCCUACAUGAAGUCGGAAUCGCUAGUAAUCGCGGAUCAGCAUGCCGCGGUGAAUACGUUCCCGGGCCUUGUACACACCGCCCGUCACACCAUGAGAGUUUGUAACACCCAAAGUCGGUGGGGUAACCUUUAG